UUGAAUAUCUGAUGGAAGGAUACCCGUGGGAUCGACAGUCGAUGCUUGGAAAAUAAGGUUCCCCGGUCCGUUGAGUUUUCCGACUCAACGAAUUGACACGGAUAGCAACGGAAGAAAUUCGAUGCUGAUGCAAGUGGAUGUAUUCUCGGCCGGUGCAUAUAUCAGAAAAUAAAUAACCCGAUGGAAAGCGGAGUCGGUCCACGAGAAUGUUGCCGGCGAGCGGGAAAUCCGGCCCUGUGCGCUUUAUCAGCGCGCUGCAUUCGCUCGCUGGCGAUUCCGCUGCGACGCGGAUCGCCGUAUCGGGGCCGAGAGAAAGACCAACGCCGAGAGAUCUCGUGGUGAUACUGUUUUUCGAAGAGUCUGUUGAUAAAGCGCUACUGGGAAAUCGAAGGAUUACCAACGGGUGAAGGGACAUGCUGAGUCAGUGUCCUGGAAAACACAAAAGGGAAGAAAUGUUGAUGUGCUUUCAUGGAGCUUUGGAUACCUAUUCACAGCAGGAACUUUCAAGUUGCAGUUCCACUGCUACGGUGACAACAACAACUCCCGAAAGUUUCACCCUCCGAAACUAUUCCAUGUAAUGAUUCUACGAAGAACAACAUGGAAUAACAGUGUUCCUCAAGUCCCCGAGGGAAAUCGAUAUUGCACGUCUGUGUUCCGUUCUGCAGGACGUGUUACCCUUUCAAGGAAACUCGCUGCUUGAAGAGGCACGGUUGCAAUUUCUGUCGCAACGUUUCCAUUCAGGGGCUUUAAAAAAUAGAAACCUCUCGGUCCCUCGGUAUUCAUGGGAAGUUAUGGUAAAUGGUCCGUCAUAGGUACGCUUUACUUGCCUCGUUUAAUGCAUCUCGGAAAGCAUAACAGAAUGGGCCUUGCAAAAAUACAUGCUGCUACUAACAAAAUCGUGAAUUUUCUUUGCUUGGAAUAAUCUCACAAAAAAUAGUAAUCCGAGGCUCCUUUUUGAGAUCCAAUAUCGUAGUAUACUAGAAUAAUCACAGAAAAUAUUCCAGUCUA